GCCGGGGUGGCGGAAUCGGCAGACGCAGCAGACUUAAAAUCUGCCGGGGUGUAAACCCCGUACCGGUUCAAGUCCGGUCCUCGGCACCA
rnacentral:tRNA from 1 species